GGGGUUGUGGCUCAGCGGCAGAGCGCUUGCCUCUCACAUAUGAGGCACUGGGUUCGAUCAUCAGCACCACA
rnacentral:tRNA from 1 species